CAUCUCCCUCUCCCUUCGCUCUCCUUCUGCGCCGCCUCCGCCCGACCCCCUUCUCUCACCCGCGAUCCCUUCGCCCUCUCUCGACCCCCUCCCCUCGUUCCUCCAGUGCGAGACCCGUGCUCCACCCUCGCCGGAGAAGAGAACCCGAGGAGCUUCCGCCACUGCGCCAUGGAUGGCCCCGAGCACCUCGUCCCGCGCUCAUCUCGUGGCGCCCGAGCACCUCGUCCCCGCCAUCUGGCCUCCGUGCCCGCAAGACCUCGUCGCUCACCGGCGCCUCAACCGGAGCAGGACCACGUCGCCCUCUCCUUCCUGUGUCCCUCUAUUUUCCCUCCUCUUCAACUAACCUCGAGCUCCCUCUCUCUCUGUUCGAAUAGAUGCCGCCAUGGAUCCCGCGCCCGAGCAGAGGAGGUUGCGUCCUCGAGCUCCUUCUGGUUCCCGCGCCUUCGGCAACCAGUGACCGCCGGCGAGCACCCCAUCCCACAAAGGAGCCCCGCCAGGAUCACCGAGCCGCUGCAACGCCCUCGUUUCUUCUCCCUCUCCUCUCCUGCACCUCGUUCCCGGCGCCGAAAAAACUGCAGUCACGCCAUGGAGCAAUUUUGAACUGCCAAGUACCAUUGGAUUCAUCAAGACCGUCAAGUACCACGACCCGCAAGACCAACGACGCCCGAACGAGUGCUCCCGACCGAGACAGUUGUGCUGCUACGUUUUGGACACGCCAAGUCCCUCAGGUCAGAUGCAUCAAGACCGCCCCGACUUUUGUGAAGUUCCACGACACCGGGAGUUCUCGGAUCCGUCAAGUUCCACUACGAGAUGUACAACUACCGUCGACCCCGAAGACCUCGGAUUCGCCAAGUUCCCACGAUGACUUGAGUGUACCCCGUCGGAUCCCCAAGUUCGGUUACCGUCGCAACCAUGUACAACUACUUCCAUGAUGAUACGAGAACGACUACCGCCGUUGAAGGCCGUUGAGUGAACAAACUACCGAUGA